GACGAACGCUGGCGGCGUGCCUAAUACAUGCAAGUCGAGCGGAUCUUGUCCUUCGGGACAAGGUUAGCGGCGGACGGGUGAGUAACACGUAGGUAACCUGCCUGUAAGAUCGGGAUAACUAUCGGAAACGAUAGCUAAGACCGGAUAAUUGAUUUCUCCGCAUGGAGGAAUUAUGAAACACGGCGCAAGCUGUGGCUUACAGAUGGACCUGCGGCGCAUUAGCUAGUUGGUGGGGUAACGGCCCACCAAGGCGACGAUGCGUAGCCGACCUGAGAGGGUGAUCGGCCACACUGGGACUGAGACACGGCCCAGACUCCUACGGGAGGCAGCAGUAGGGAAUCUUCCGCAAUGGACGAAAGUCUGACGGAGCAACGCCGCGUGAGUGAUGAAGGUUUUCGGAUCGUAAAGCUCUGUUGCCAGGGAAGAACGGCCAGGAGAGUAACUGCUCUUGGAGUGACGGUACCUGAGAAGAAAGCCCCGGCUAACUACGUGCCAGCCGCCGCCGUAAAAC
rnacentral:rRNA from 1 species